UGAAUACGAGACGCUAAGGCGUCGAAGUAGUGUAUGUCAUACUUCCAAGAAAAGCUUGCACUGUCAUAGAUAAAAAACGCCUGUACCAUAACCGACACAGGUGGGUAGGUAGAGUAUACUAAGGGGCGCGAGAUAACUCUCUCUAAGGAACUCGGCAAAAUAACUCCGUAACUUCGGGAGAAGGAGUGCCUUAUUCGUAAGGUUGCAAUAACAAGAUCCAAGCAACUGUUUAUCAAAAACACAGGUCUCCGCUAAGUCGUAAGACGAUGUAUGGGGGCUGACGCCUGCCCAGUGCCAGAAGGUUAAAGAAGUUGGUUAGCAAUUGCGAAGCUGAUAACUGAAGCCCUGGUGAACGGCGGCCGUAACGAUAACGGUCCUAAGGUAGCGAAAUUCCUUGUCGGGUAAGUUCCGACCCGCACGAAAGGCGUAAUGAUUUGGAUACUGUCUCGGAGAGGGGCUCGGUGAAAUAGACUUGUCUGUGAAGAUGCGGACUACCUGCACCAGGACAGAAAGACCCUAUGAAGCUUUACUGUAACUUGAAAUUGAAAUUGGACUUUAUUCGCGCAGUAUAGGUGGGAGGCGUUGAUUAUAAUCUUGUGGGAUUAUUGGAGCCAUCAGUGAGAUACCACUCUUGUAAUGUUAGAUUUCUAACUUUGAAUCAUUAUCUGGUCAAAGAACAGUUUCAGGCGGGCAGUUUGACUGGGGCGGUCGCCUCCUAAACGGUAACGGAGGCGUACAAAGGUUUCCUCUGAACGGUUAGAAAUCGUAUCUAGAGUGUAAAGGCAUAAGGGAGCUUGACUGUGAGACCUACAAGUCGAGCAGGGACGAAAGUCGGUCUUAGUGAUCUGACGGUACUGAGUGGAAAGGCCGUCACUCAACGGAUAAAAGUUACUCUAAGGAUAACAGGCUGAUCUCCCCCAAGAGUUCACAUCGACGGGGAGGUUUGGCACCUCGAUGUCGGCUCAUCGCAUCCUGGGGCGGUAGUACGUCCCAAGGGUUGGGCUGUUCGCCCAUGAAAGCGGUACGCGAGCUGGGUUCAGAACGUCGUGAGACAGUUCGGUCCAUAUCCGGUGUAGGCGUUAGAAUAUUGAGAGGAGCCUUCUUUAGUACGAGAGGACCGAGAAGGACAUACCUCUGGUGUACCAGUUAUCGUGCCAACGGUAAACGCUGGGUAGCUAUGUAUGGAGUGGAUAACCGCUGAAAGCAUCUAAGUGGGAAGCCCACCUCAAGAUAAGUAUUCUCAC
rnacentral:rRNA from 1 species